AUGACCUCGGAUCAGGUAGGGAUACCCGCUGAACUUAAGCAUAUCAAUAAGCGGAGGAAAAGAAACCAACAGGGAUUACCUCAGUAACGGCGAUGAAAGCGGC
rnacentral:rRNA from 1 species